rnacentral:rRNA from 1 species
GAGUUUGAUCCUGGAUCAGGGUGAACGCUGCCGGGGCGCUUAAUGCAUGCAGGGCGAGCGUGAUCGUGGCUUCGGCCACAAUGAUAAAGCGGGAGACGGCUGAGUAACGCGUGAGUAAUCUGCCCUCCGGUGGACUAUAACCUCGGGAAACUGAGGAUAAUCCCGCAUACUGACCUGCAUCCCAUGGGAUGCAGAUGAAAGGCUUCGGUCGCCGGAGGAGGAGCUCGCGUCCUAUCAGGUUGUUGUUGGGGUAAUGGCCCACCAAGCCGAUGACGGGUAGCUGGUCUGAGAGGAUGACCAGCCAGAGGGGGACUGAGAACGGCCCCCACUCCUACGGGAGGCAGCAGCAGGGAAUCUUGGGCAAUGGGCGAAAGCCUGACCCAGCGACGUCGCGUGGGGGACGAAGGCCUUCGGGUUGUAAACCCCUUUUCCGAGGGAAGAGAAAGGGCGGUACCUCGGGAAUAAGCCCCGGCUAACUACGUGCCAGCAGCCGCGGUAAUACGUAGGGGGCAAGCGUUACCCGGAAUCACUGGGCGUAAAGUGCGCGUAGGCGGUUGGAUAAGUCUCUUGUGAAAGCUCCCGGCUCAACUGGGAGAGGUCAAGGGAUACUAUUCGACUUGAGGACAGCAGAGGUAAGCAGAAUUCCCGGUGUAGCGGUGGAAUGCGUAGAUAUCGGGAGGAACACCAGUGGCGAAAGCGGCUUACUGGGCUGUAUCUGACGCUGAGGCGCGAGAGCGUGGGGAGCAAACUGGAUUAGAUACCCUGGUAGUC